rnacentral:rRNA from 1 species
UACAGAGACCUCAAGCGUUAUCCGGAAUUACUGGGCGUAAAGCGUCCGUAGGUGGUCUAAAAAGUUAAUGGUCAAACCCUGGGGCUUAACUCCAGGACUGCUGUUAAUACUGUUAGACUAGAGGCCGGAAGAGGCAAGCGGAACUAUCGGUGUAGUCGUAAUAAGCGCUGAUAUCGAUAGGAACACCAAAGGCGAAGGCAGCUUGCUAGUACGUGCCUGACACUCAGGGACUAAAGCGUGGGUAGCGAAAGGG